CUGCCCGGAGCCACUGCUAUGGGGUCCGACUAAGCCAUGCGAGUCAUGGGGGUGUCCCUUCUGGGACACCACCGGCGGACGGCUCAGUAACACGUCGGUAACCUACCCUCGGGAGGGGGAUAACCCCGGGAAACUGGGGCUAAUCCCCCAUAGGUGUGGGGUACUGGAAGGUCCCCACACCGAAAGGGGCCUCGUGCCCGCCCGAGGAUGGGCCGGCGGCCGAUUAGGUAGUUGGUGGGGUAACGGCCCACCAAGCCGAAGAUCGGUACGGGCCAUGAGAGUGGGAGCCCGGAGAUGGACACUGAGACACGGGUCCAGGCCCUACGGGGCGCAGCAGGCGCGAAACCUCCGCAAUGCGGGAAACCGCGACGGGGGGACCCCCAGUGCCGUGGCAACGCCACGGCUUUUCCGGAGUGUAAAAAGCUCCGGGAAUAAGGGCUGGGCAAGGCCGGUGGCAGCCGCCGCGGUAAUACCGGCGGCCCGAGUGGUGGCCGCUAUUAUUGGGCCUAAAGCGUCCGUAGCCGGGCCCGUAAGUCCCUGGCGAAAUCCCACGGCUCAACCGUGGGGCUUGCUGGGGAUACUGCGGGCCUUGGGACCGGGAGAGGCGGGGGGUACCCCUGGGGUAGGGGUGAAAUCCUAUAAUCCCAGGGGGACCGCCAGUGGCGAAGGCGCCCCGCUGGAACGGGUCCGACGGUGAGGGACGAAGGCCAGGGGAGCGAACCGGAUUAGAUACCCGGGUAGUCCUGGCUGUAAAGGAUGCGGGCUAGGUGUCGGGCGAGCUCCGAGCUCGCCCGGUGCCGUAGGGAAGCCGUUAAGCCCGCCGCCUGGGGAGUACGGCCGCAAGGCUGAAACUUAAAGGAAUUGGCGGGGGAGCACUACA
rnacentral:rRNA from 1 species